rnacentral:rRNA from 1 species
GUAGGUGGCAAGCGUUGUCCGGAAUUAUUGGGCGUAAAGCGCGCGCAGGGCGGUCCUUUAAGUCUGAUGCGAAAGCCCACGGCUCAACCGUGGAGGGUCAUUGGAAACUGGGGGACUUGAGUACAGAAGAGGAAAGCGGAAUUCCAAGUGUAGCGGUGAAAUGCGUAGAGAUUUGGAGGAACACCAGUGGCGAAGGCGGCUUUCUGGUCUGUAACUGACGCUGAGGCGCGAAAGCGUGGGGAGCAAACAGGAUUAGAUACCCUGGUAGUCCACGCCGUAAACGAUGAGUGCUAAGUGUUAGGGGGUUUCCGCCCCUUAGUGCUGCAGCUAACGCAUUAAGCACUCCGCCUGGGGAGUACGGCCGCAAGGCCG